UAGUCCACUCCCAAUAAUGGAUGAGGAGGUGUCAAUUCCAGGAGAGGAAAAGCUGCUUCUGUAAUGAGCCAGCCACUCCCAGUCCCUAUUCAAGCCCAGAUAUCACUUGUCCCAUAACCUCAGCCGUACAGAACGCAAUGCCAUCCACAGCAUCAGAAACAACUCUGACAUUAUCAUCAAAGGGGCUGACAAAGGAGGUGCUGUAGUCAUAAUGAAUAGGUCGGAUUAUGAGCAGGAGGCUGCCAGGCAACUCUCCAAGAGCACAUUCUACAGGCCACUAUCCUCUGAUCCCACUGAGGAAUACCAAAAGAAACUACACUAUCUGCUCAAGAAAUUCCCAGCUACAGUACAGGAACAAAUCUACAUGGACACACCCCCAGAACCCCGACCAGGGGUAUUCUAUCUGCUACCCAAGAUCCAUAAACCCAGAAACCCUGGACGCCCCAUCAUGUCAGGCAUUGGCACUCAUACAGCAGGAUUAUCUGGCUAUUUGGACUCUCUCCUCAGACCCUAUGCUACCAGCACUCCCAGCUAUCUUCGAGACACCACCGACUUCCUGAGGAAACAACAAUGCAUUGGUGUUCUUCCUGAAAACACCAUCCUGGCCACCAUGGAUGUAGAAGCACUUUACACCAAUAUUCCACAUGAGGAUGGACUACAAGCUGUCAGGAACAGUAUCCCUGAUGAGGCCACAGCAAGCCUGGUGGCUGAGCUUUGUGACUUUGUCCUCACCCACAAUCACUUCAGAUUUGGUUACAACUUAUACCUGCAAGUCAGUGGCACUGCUAUGGGUACCCACAUGGCCCCACAGUAUGCCAACAUUUUUAUGGCUGACUUAGAACAAUGCUUCCUCAGCUCUCGUCCCCUAGUGCCCCUCCUCUACUUGCGCUACAUUGAUGACAUCUUCAUCAUAUGGACCCACGGAAAGGAGGCCCUUGAAGAAUUCCACCUGGACUUCAACAAUUUCCACCCCACCAUCAACCUCAGCCUGGACCAGUCCACAAAAGAGAUCCACUACCUGGACAGUACGGUGCAAAUAAGUGAUGGUCACAUAAACACCACCCUAUACCGGAAACCUACUGACCGCUAUACGUACCUACAUGCCUCCAGCUUCCAUCCAAGACAUAUCACAUGAUCCAUUGUCUACAGCCAAGCCCUAAGAUACAACCGAAUUUGCUCCAACCCCUCAGACAGAGACAAACACCUACAAGAUCUUUAUCAAGCAUUCGUAAAACUACAAUACCCACCUGGGGAAGUGAGGAAACAGAUUGACAGAGCAAGACGGGUACCCAGAAAUCACCUACUACAGGACAGGCCCAACAAGGACAAUAACAGAACACCACU
rnacentral:lncRNA from 1 species